rnacentral:rRNA from 1 species
UACAGGGGGGGCAAGCGUUGUUCGGAAUUACUGGGCGUAAAGGGCUCGUAGGUGGCCAACUAAGUCAGACGUGAAAUCCCUCAGCUUAACUGGGGAACUGCGUCUGAUACUGGAUGGCUUGAGUUUGGGAGAGGGAUGCGGAAUUCCAGGUGUAGCGGUGAAAUGCGUGGAUAUUGGGAGGAACACCAGUGGCGAAGGCGGCUCACUGGACCGGUACUGACGCUGAUGCGCGAAAGCGUGGGGAGCAAACGGG